GGGUCAGUAGGUUGGUCGUGCCACCGGUACGUACUGGUCUCACUGAUUCCUCCUUCCUGAAGAACCGUAAUGCCAUUAAUUUGGUGUUGCGGGGAAACAGGACUGUUACUUUGAAAAAAUUAGAGUGUUUAAAGCAGGCUAACGCUUGAAUACAUUAGCAUGGAAUAAUGAAAUAGGACGAUCGAUCCUAUUUUGUUGGUUUCUAGGAUUGACGUA
rnacentral:rRNA from 2 species